rnacentral:rRNA from 1 species
GACGAACGCUGGCGGCGUGCUUAACACAUGCAAGUCGAACGGAAAGGCCCUGCUUUUGUGGGGUGCUCGAGUGGCGAACGGGUGAGUAACACGUGAGUAACCUGCCCUUGACUUUGGGAUAACUUCAGGAAACUGGGGCUAAUACCGGAUAGGAGCUCCUGCUGCAUGGUGGGGGUUGGAAAGUUUCGGCGGUUGGGGAUGGACUCGCGGCUUAUCAGCUUGUUGGUGGGGUAGUGGCUUACCAAGGCUUUGGCGGGUAGCCGGCCUGAGGGGGUGACCGGCCACAUUGGGACUGAGAUACGGCCCAGACUCCUACGGGAGGCAGCAGUGGGGAAUAUUGCACAAUGGGCGGAAGCCUGAUGCAGCAACGCCGCGUGCGGGAUGACGGCCUUCGGGUUGUAAACCGCUUUCGCCUGUGACAAAGCGUGAGUGACGGUAAUGGGUAAAGAAGCACCGGCUAACUACGUG